rnacentral:rRNA from 1 species
AUGAACGCUGGCGGCGUGCCUCAUACAUGCAAGUCGCGCGAACAGACGAGGAGCUUGCUCCUCUGACGUUAGCGGCGGACGGGUGAGUAACACGUGGAUAACCUACCUAUAAGACUGGGAUAACUUCGGGAAACCGGAGCUAAUACCGGAUAAUAUAUUGAACCGCAUGGUUCAAUAGUGAAAGACGGUUUUGCUGUCACUUAUAGAUGGAUCCGCGCCGCAUUAGCUAGUUGGUAAGGUAACGGCUUACCAAGGCAACGAUGCGUAGCCGACCUGAGAGGGUGAUCGGCCACACUGGAACUGAGACACGGUCCAGACUCCUACGGGAGGCAGCAGUAGGGAAUCUUCCGCAAUGGGCGAAAGCCUGACGGAGCAACGCCGCGUGAGUGAUGAAGGUCUGCGGAUCGUAAACUCUGUUAUUAGGGAAGAACAAAUGUGUAAGUAACUAUGCACGUCUUGACGGUACCUAAUCAGAAAGCCACGGCUAACUACGUG